rnacentral:rRNA from 1 species
UACGGAGGGUGCAAGCGUUAUCCGGAUUCACUGGGUUUAAAGGGUGCGUAGGCGGGUAAGUAAGUCCGUGGUGAAAUCUCUGAGCUUAACUCAGAAACUGCCGUGGAUACUAUUUGCCUUGAAUAUUGUGGAGGUGAGCGGAAUAUGUCAUGUAGCGGUGAAAUGCUUAGAUAUGACAUAGAACACCAAUUGCGAAGGCAGCUCACUACACAAUUAUUUACGCUGAGGCACGAAAGCGUGGGGAUCAAACAGG